rnacentral:rRNA from 1 species
AGAGUUUGAUCCUGGCUCAGGACGAACGCUGGCGGCAUGCUUCAUACAUGCAAGUUGAACGCCCCGCAAGGGGAGUGGCGGAAGGGUGAGUAACGCGUAGGAAUCUGCCCUGGAUUGGGGGAUAACCUGAGGAAACUCGGGCUAAUACCGCAUAUUGCCGAAAGGUGAAAGAUUUAUUGAUCCAGGAUGAGCCUGCGUAUGAUUAGCUAGUUGGUAGGGUAAUGGCCUACCAAGGCUUCGAUCAUUAGCUGGUCUUAGAGGAUGAUCAGUCACAAUGGAACUGAGACACGGUCCAUACUUCUACGGAAGGCAGCAGUAGG